UCGACCUGAGCUCAGGCAAGAUUACCCGCUGAACUUNAGCAUAUCAAUAAGCGGAGGAAAAAGAAACUAACCAGGAUUCCCNUAGUAACGGCGAGUGAACCGGGNAAGAGCCCAGCUUGAAAAUCUCCAGCCCCCGG
rnacentral:rRNA from 1 species